rnacentral:rRNA from 1 species
GACGAACGCUGGCGGCAUGCCUAACACAUGCAAGUCGAGCGAGUGGAGUUCUUCGGAACAAAGCUAGCGGCGGACGGGUGAGUAACACGUGGGCAACCUGCCUCAUAGAGGGGAAUAGCCUCCCGAAAGGGAGAUUAAUACCGCAUAAGAUUGUAGCUUCGCAUGAAGUAGCAAUUAAAGGAGCAAUCCGCUAUGAGAUGGGCCCGCGGCGCAUUAGCUAGUUGGUGAGGUAACGGCUCACCAAGGCGACGAUGCGCAGCCGACCUGAGAGGGUGAUCGGCCACAUUGGGACUGAGACACGGCCCAGACUCCUACGGGAGGCAGCAGUGGGGAAUAUUGCACAAUGGGGGAAACCCUGAUGCAGCAAUGCCGCGUGAGUGAUGACGGCCUUCGGGUUGUAAAGCUCUGUCUUCGGGGACGAUAAUGACGGUACCCGAGGAGGAAGCCACGGCUAACUACGUGCCAGCCGCCGCGGUAAGAC